rnacentral:rRNA from 1 species
CAAUAGCGUAUAUUAAAGUUGUUGCGGUUAAAAAGCUCGUAGUUGGAGUUCUGCCAGGUGCCGCCUGUCCGCCCCAGUGGUGAGUACGUGGCGCGCAUUUGGCCCUUUCAAGGGGAGCGUAUCUGCACUUUAUUGUGUGGUGCGGGAUCCUUGACUUUUACUUUGAGGAAAUAGGAGUGUUCCAAGCAGGCUCUCGUCGUGCACAGCUCAGCAUGGAAUAAUAGCAUUGGACCUCGAUUCUAAGCUGUUGGUUGCCAGAAGCGAGGUAAUGAUGAAGAGGGAUAGUUGGGGGCAUUAGUAUUUAAUUGUCAGAGGUGAAAUUCUUGGAUUUAUUAAAGACUAACUUAUGCGAAAGCAUUUGCCAAGGAUGUUUUCAUUGA